UACAGAGGGUGCGAGCGUUAAUCGGAAUUACUGGGCGUAAAGCGCGCGUAGGCGGCUUGCAAGUCGGGUGUGAAAUCCCCAGGCUCAACCUGGGAACUGCAUUCGAGACUGCAUUGCUAGAGUAUGGGAGAGGGAAGUGGAAUUUCCGGUGUAACGGUGAAAUGCGUAGAUAUCGGAAGGAACAUCAGUGGCGAAAGCGACUUCCUGGACCAAUACUGACGCUCAUGUGCGAAAGCGUGGGGAGCAAACAGG
rnacentral:rRNA from 1 species